AAACUUUCAACAACGGAUCUCUUGGUUCUGGCAUCGAUGAAGAACGCAGCGAAAUGCGAUAAGUAAUGUGAAUUGCAGAAUUCAGUGAAUCAUCGAAUCUUUGAACGCACAUUGCGCCCCUUGGUAUUCCGAAGGGCAUGCCUGUUCGAGCGUCAUUU
rnacentral:rRNA from 1 species